AUUGAACGCUGGCGGCAGGCCUAACACAUGCAAGUCGAACGAGCGGCGGACGGGUGGGUAAUUUCUGGGUAAAUGCCUGAUGGAGGGGGAUAACUACUGGAAACGGUAGCUAAUACCUCAUACCUUCCGAUGUACCCAGAGGGGAUUGGCUGGCAGGUGGGGUAACGGCGCACCUAGGCGCAGGUCCCUAGCUGGUCUGAUUGGAUGACCAGCCACACUGGAACUGAGACACGGUCCAGACGCCUACGGGAGGCAGCAGUGGGGAAUAUUGCACAAUGGGCGCAAGCCUGAUGCAGCCAUGCCGCGUGUGUGAAGAAGGCCUUCGGGUUGUAAAGUACUUUCAGCGGGGAGGCGUUACCCGCAGAAGAAGCACCGGCUAACUCCGUGCCAGCAGCCGCGGUAAUUC
rnacentral:rRNA from 1 species